UACGAAGGGGGCUAGCGUUGCUCGGAAUCACUGGGCGUAAAGGGCGCGUAGGCGGCCAUUCAAGUCAGAGGUGAAAGCCCAAGGCUCAACCUUGGAAUUGCCUUUGAUACUGUUUGGCUUGAGACCGGAAGAGGUUAGUGGAACUGCGAGUGUAGAGGUGAAAUUCGUAGAUAUUCGCAAGAACACCAGUGGCGAAGGCGGCUCACUGGCCCGAUACUGACGCUGAGGCACGAAAGCGUGGGGAGCAAACAGGG
rnacentral:rRNA from 1 species